UAAGAUUUAGUUAAUAAAUAAUUUUGGUAUGUCGAGCCAAGGUAAUGGGGUUUUCCAUAAUCUUAG
rnacentral:tRNA from 1 species